rnacentral:rRNA from 1 species
AUGAACGCUGGCGGCGUGCCUAAUACAUGCACGUCGAGCGAACAGACGAGGAGCUUGCUCCUCUGACGUUAGCGGCGGACGGGUGAGUAACACGUGGAUAACCUACCUAUAAGACUGGGAUAACUUCGGGAAACCGGAGCUAAUACCGGAUAAUAUAUUGAACCGCAUGGUUCAAUAGUGAAAGACGGUUUUGCUGUCACUUAUAGAUGGGUCCGCGCCGCAUUAGCUAGUUGGUAAGGUAACGGCUUACCAAGGCAACGAUGCGUAGCCGACCUGAGAGGGUGAUCGGCCACACUGGAACUGAGACACGGUCCAGACUCCUACGGGAGGCAGCAGUAGGGAAUCUUCCGCAAUGGGCGAAAGCCUGACGGAGCAACGCCGCGUGAGUGAUGAAGGUCUUCGGAUCGUAAAACUCUGUUAUUAGGGAAGAACAAAUGUGUAAGUAACUAUGCACGUCUUGACGGUACCUAAUCAGAAAGCCACGGCUAACUACGUG